UAUGAAUAGCUAGGAGGCAGGAGGAAUUAUUACACACUCCCCAAGCCUCACACCCCUUCCUGCUCCAGUGGACAUCCAGGAGGAGGCUAAUGUCUUCGGCAAGAUGGCUGCUACCACCACUAAGAGCGUGUCAGCCAGCUAAUAUGCAUCCCAGCCCCACAAUGCGGAGCAGGUCAUCGCAGAGCAUCACGGGAAGGUCGCUAAAUUAGACAUCAGAAACAUCUGCAGUCGGAUUCCUGUUCCAAAGAAAACUCAUUCUGACCUCAAAAUAUUAAAUCUAAUACAGACUCCCUUCUUUUUACUUCUGGUCUUAAACGGAGGAUGCCGCCACCAUCACAGAGCCAGAGCAGGGUGGAAGAAGACAUCCACUUGGCCAUCCCUCUGACUGAUACUGCCAGUUCUAUUGCAUCAAUGACAUGAAGAUUGACACA